GACCUAACCCUUGGCGUUAAACCCGAGGCACGGUCGCAAAACCCGCUAGAGAUCAAAGGACUCCUGGUCAGAGUCACUCUAGCGGGUCAUAUCGGGAAACCGGUAUGGGUUUGGCCGAAAGGUCGGACC
rnacentral:sRNA from 1 species